rnacentral:rRNA from 1 species
UACAGAGGGUGCGAGCGUUGUCCGGAAUCACUGGGCGUAAAGGGCGCGUAGGCGGCCUGAUAAGUCGGGGGUGAAAUCCUGUGGCUUAACCACAGGGCUGCCUCCGAGACUGUCGGGCUCGAGCACAGUAGAGGCAGGUGGAAUUCCCGGUGUAGCGGUGGAAUGCGUAGAGAUCGGGAAGAACAUCGGUGGCGAAGGCGGCCUGCUGGGCUGUUGCUGACGCUGAGGCGCGACAGCGUGGGGAGGCAAACAGG